UUCUGAGUAGCUCAGUCAGUAGAGCACGAUACUCUUUAUCUCAGGGUCAUGGGUUAGAGUCCCACAUUGGGUGAAA